rnacentral:rRNA from 1 species
AAGUCGAAYGGUAACAGGAAGCAGCUUGCUGCUUCGCUGACGAGUGGCGGACGGGUGAGUAAUGUCUGGGAAACUGCCUGAUGGAGGGGGAUAACUACUGGAAACGGUAGCUAAUACCGCAUAAUGUCGCAAGACCAAAGAGGGGGACCUUCGGGCCUCUUGCCAUCGGAUGUGCCCAGAUGGGAUUAGCUAGUAGGUGGGGUAACGGCUCACCUAGGCGACGAUCCCUAGCUGGUCUGAGAGGAUGACCAGCCACACUGGAACUGAGACACGGUCCAGACUCCUACGGGAGGCAGCAGUGGGGAAUAUUGCACAAUGGGCGCAAGCCUGAUGCAGCCAUGCCGCGUGUAUGAAGAAGGCCUUCGGGUUGUAAAGUACUUUCAGCGGGGAGGAAGGUGCUGAGGUUAAUAACCUCAGCAAUUGACGUUACCCGCAGAAGAAGCACCGGCUAACUCCGUGCCAGCAGCCGCGGUAAUACGGAGGGUGCAAGCGUUAAUCGGAAUUACUGGGCGUAAAGCGCACGCAGGCGGUCUGUCAAGUCGGAUGUGAAAUCCCCGGGCUCAACCUGGGAACUGCAUUCGAAACUGGCAGGCUAGAGUCUUGUAGAGGGGGGUAGAAUUCCAGGUGUAGCGGUGAAAUGCGUAGAGAUCUGGAGGAAUACCGGUGGCGAAGGCGGCCCCCUGGACAAAGACUGACGCUCAGGUGCGAAAGCGUGGGGAGCAAACAGGAUUAGAUACCCUGGUAGUCCACGCCGUAAACGAUGUCGACUUGGAGGUUGUGCCCUUGAGGCGUGGCUUCCGGAGCUAACGCGUUAAGUCGACCGCCUGGGGAGUACGGCCGCAAGGUUAAAACUCAAAUGAAUUGACGGGGGCCCGCACAAGCGGUGGAGCAUGUGGUUUAAUUCGAUGCAACGCGAAGAACCUUACCUACUCUUGACAUCCAGAGAACUUUCCAGAGAUGGAUUGGUGCCUUCGGGAACUCUGAGACAGGUGCUGCAUGGCUGUCGUCAGCUCGUGUUGUGAAAUGUUGGGUUAAGUCCCGCAACGAGCGCAACCCUUAUCCUUUGUUGCCAGCGGUUAGGCCGGGAACUCAAAGGAGACUGCCAGUGA